GUCUCAGGUCGUAUCAGCCUGAAGGCGCUCGAUCUCGUCUGAUCUCGGAAGCUAGCAGGGUCGGGCCUGGUUAGUAUCUUGGAUGGGAGACCACCUGGGAAUCCCGGGUGCUCGAGGCU
rnacentral:rRNA from 1 species